UCCUGGCAAGUACAGAGCCUCGCCCUUGUUGCUCCGCUGCCCGUCCACACCCACCGCCAGCUCGCCAUGGAUGAUGGUAUCGCUGCACUUGUUGUGGACAACGGCUCCGGCAUGUGCAAUGCUGGCUUCACGGGUGAUGAUGCUCCCCAGGCAGUCUUCCUCUCCAACGUGGGGCACCCCAGGCACCAGGGCGUGAUGAUGGGCCUGGGUCAGAAGGACUCCUAUAUGGAUUACGAGGCCCAGAGCAAGAGAGACAUCCUGACCCUGAAGUACCCCAUCGUGCAUGGCAUUGUCACCAACUGGGACGACAUGGAGAAGAUCUGGCACCACACUUUCUACAACUAGCUACAUGUGGCUCCUGAGGAGCACCCCGUGCUGCUUACCGAGGCCCCCCUGAACCCCAAGGCCAACCGUAAGAAGAUGACCCAGAUCAUGUUUGAGACCUUCAACACCCCAGCCAAGUAUGUGGCCAUCCAGGCCUUGCUUUCCUUGUACACCUCUGGCUGUACCAUUGGCAUCGUGAUGGACUCCAGUGAUGGGGUCACCCACACUGUGCCCAUCUACGAGGGGUAUGUCCUCCCCCUUGCCAUCCUGCAUCUGGACCUGGCUGGCCAGGACCUGACUGACUACCUCAUGAAGAUCCUCACUGAGCGCGGCUACAGUUUCACCACCAUGGCUGAGCAGGAAAUCGUGUGUGACAUCAAGGAGAAGCUGUGCUAUGUCGCCCUGGACUUCGAGCAGGAGAUGGCCACAGAUGCCUCCAGCUCCUUUCUGGAGAAGAGCUUUGAGCUACCUGAUGGCCAGAUUAUCACCAUCAGCAACGAGUGGUUCCGCUGCCCUGAGGUGCUCUUUCAGCCUUCUUUCCUGGGCAUGGAAUCUUGUGGCAUCCAUGAAACUACCUUCAACUCCAUCAUGAAAUGUGAUGUGGACAUCCACAAAGACCUGUACACCAACACAGUGCUGUCUGGCGGUACCACCAUGUACCCUGGCAUCGCGGACAGGAUGCAGAAGGAGAUCACUGCCCUGGCACCCAGCAUGAUGAAGAUCAAGAUCAUUGCUCCUCCUGAGUGCAAGUACCCCGUGUGGAUCAGUGGCUCCAUCCUGGCCUUGCUGUCCACCUUCCAGCAGAUAUGGAUCAACAAGCAGGAGUAUGAUGAGUCCAGCACCUCCAUAGUCCACCACAAAUGCUUUUAGGUGGACUGUGACUUUAGUUGUGUUACACCCU